rnacentral:rRNA from 1 species
ACGUAGGCAGUAGCGGCGGAGGGUGAGUACACGUGGGUAACCUGCCUGUAAGACUGGGAUAACUCCGGGAAACCGGAGCUAAUACCGGAUAGUUCCUUGAACCGCAUGGUUCAAGGAUGAAAGACGGUUUCGGCUGUCACUUACAGAUGGACCCGCGGCGCAUUAGCUAGUUGGUGGGGUAAUGGCUCACCAAGGCGACGAUGCGUAGCCGACCUGAGAGGGUGAUCGGCCACACUGGGACUGAGACACGGCCCAGACUCCUACGGGAGGCAGCAGUAGGGAAUCUUCCGCAAUGGACGAAAGUCUGACGGAGCAACGCCGCGUGAGUGAUGAAGGUUUUCGGAUCGUAAAGCUCUGUUGUUAGGGAAGAACAAGUGCGAGAGUAACUGCUCGCACCUUGACGGUACCUAACCAGAAAGCCACGGCUAACUACGUGCCAGCAGCCGCGGUAAUACGUAGGUGGCAAGCGUUGUCCGGAAUUAUUGGGCGUAAAGGGCUCGCAGGCGGUUUCUUAAGUCUGAUGUGAAAGCCCCCGGCUCAACCGGGGAGGGUCAUUG